rnacentral:ncRNA from 19 species
CAUGGACCUGGGGGUGACCUCGGGUGGCUCUUCCGGCCGCCUAUCCGCCGGACAACC